rnacentral:rRNA from 1 species
AAAGCCUGACGCAGCGACGCCGCUUGAGGGAUGAAGGUUCUCGGAUCGUAAACCUCUGUCAGAAGGGAAGAAACCGCACCGUGCUAAUCAGCGGUGCAUUGACGGUACCUUCAAAGGAAGCACCGGCUAACUCCGUGCCAGCAGCCGCGGUAAUACGUAGGGGACAAGCGUUGUCCGGAUUUACUGGGCGUAAAGGGCACGCAGGCGGUUUUUUAAGUCAGAUGUGAAAGGUACCGGCUCAACCGGUGACAUGCAUUUGAAACUGAAAGAGUUGAGUAUUGGAGAGGCAAGUGGAAUUCCUAGGGUAGCGGUGAAAUGCGUAGAUAUUAGGAGGAACACCGGUGGCGAAGGCGGCUUGCUGGACAAAUACUGACGCUGAGGUGCGAAAGCGUGGGGAGCAAACA